rnacentral:rRNA from 1 species
GAUGAACGCUGGCGGCGUGCCUAAUACAUGCAAGUCGAGCGAAUGGAUUAAGAGCUUGCUCUUAUGAAGUUAGCGGCGGACGGGUGAGUAACACGUGGGUAACCUGCCCAUAAGACUGGGAUAACUCCGGGAAACCGGGGCUAAUACCGGAUAACAUCUUGAACCGCAUGGUUCGAAAUUGAAAGGCGGCUUCGGCUGUCACUUAUGGAUGUACCCGCGUCGCAGUAGCUAGUUGGUGAGGUAACGGCUCACCAAGGCAACGAUGCGUAGCCGACCUGAGAGGGUGAUCGGCCACACUGGGACUGAGACACGGCCCAGACUCCUACGGGAGGCAGCAGUAGGGAAUCUUCCGCAAUGGACGAAAGUCUGACGGAGCAACGCCGCGUGAGUGAUGAAGGCUUUCGGGUCGUAAAACUCUGUUGUUAGGGAAGAACAAGUGCUAGUUGAAUAAGCUGGCACCUUGACGGUACCUAACCAGAAAGCCACGGCUAACUACGUGCCAGCCGCCGCGGUAA